UACGUAGGUGGCAAGCGUUGUCCGGAAUUAUUGGGCGUAAAGCGCGCGCAGGCGGCCUUUUAAGUCUGAUGUGAAAGCCCACGGCUCAACCGUGGAAGGUCAUUGGAAACUGGAAGGCUUGAGUACAGAAGAGGAAAGCGGAAUUCCACGUGUAGCGGUGAAAUGCGUAGAGAUGUGGAGGAACACCAGUGGCGAAGGCGGCUUUCUGGUCUGUAACUGACGCUGAGGCGCGAAAGCGUGGGGAGCAAACAGG
rnacentral:rRNA from 2 species